GCACUAGUAGCUCAAAAAGAGCGUCGGCCUUGUAAGCCGAAGGCUGGGGGUUAAAACCCCUCCUACUGCU
rnacentral:tRNA from 1 species